rnacentral:rRNA from 1 species
GACGAACGCUGGCGGCGUGCCUAAUACAUGCAAGUAGAACGCUGAAGAGAGGAGCUUGCGCUUCUUGGAUGAGUUGCGAACGGGCGAGUAACGCGUAGGUAACCUGCCUUGUAGCGGGGGAUAACUAUUGGAAACGAUAGCUAAUACCGCAUAACAAUGGAUGACUCAUGUCAUUUAUUUGAAAGGGGCAAAUGCUCCACUACAAGAUGGACCUGCGUUGUAUUAGCUAGUAGGUGAGGUAACGGCUCACCUAGGCGACGAUACAUAGCCGACCUGAGAGGGUGAUCGGCCACACUGGGACUGAGACACGGCCCAGACUCCUACGGGAGGCAGCAGUAGGGAAUCUUCGGCAAUGGGGGCAACCCUGACCGAGCAACGCCGCGUGAGUGAAGAAGGUUUUCGGAUCGUAAAGCUCUGUUGUAAGUCAAGAACGAGUGUGAGAGUGGAAAGUUCACACUGUGACGGUAGCUUACCAGAAAGGGACGGCUAACUACGUGCCAGCAGCCGCGGUAAUACGUAGGUCCCGAGCGUUGUCCGGAUUUAUUGGGCGUAAAGCGAGCGCAGGCGGUUUGAUAAGUCUGAAGUUAAAGGCUGUGGCUCAACCAUAGUUCGCUUUGGAAACUGUCAAACUUGAGUGCAGAAAGGGAGAGUGGAAUUCCAUGUGUAGCGGUGAAAUGCGUAGAUAUAUGGAGGAACACCGGUGGCGAAAGCGGCUCUCUGGUCUGUAACUGACGCUGAGGCUCGAAAGCGUGGGGAGCGAACAGGAUUAGAUACCCUGGUAGUCCACGCCGUAAACGAUGAGUGCUAGGUGUUGGAUCCUUUCCGGGAUUCAGUGCCGCAGCUAACGCAUUAAGCACUCCGCCUGGGGAGUACGACCGCAAGGUUGAAACUCAAAGGAAUUGACGGGGGCCCGCACAAGCGGUGGAGCAUGUGGUUUAAUUCGAAGCAACGCGAAGAACCUUACCAGGUCUUGACAUCCCGAUGCUAUUUCUAGAGAUAGAAAGUUACUUCGGUACAUCGGUGACAGGUGGUGCAUGGUUGUCGUCAGCUCGUGCCGUGAGGUGUCGGCUUAAGUGCCAUAACGAGCGCAACCCUUUUCCUUGGUUGCCAUCAGGUAAUGCUGGGCACUCCAGGGAUACUGCCAUCGUAAGAUGUGAGGAAGGUGGGGAUGACGUCAAAUCAGCACGGCCCUUACGUCCGGGGCUACACACGUGUUACAAUGGGGGGUACAGAAGGUCGCUACCUGGUGACAGGAUGCUAAUCUUAAAAACCUCUCUCAGUUCGGAUUGGAGUCUGCAACCCGACUCCAUGAAGCUGGAUUCGCUAGUAAUCGCGCAUCAGCCAUGGCGCGGUGAAUACGUUCCCGGGCCU